rnacentral:rRNA from 1 species
UACGAAGGGGGCGAGCGUUGUUCGGAAUUACUGGGCGUAAAGGGCGCGCAGGCGGUCCUUCAAGUCAGAUGUGAAAGCCCCGGGCUCAACCUGGGAACUGCAUUUGAGACUGGAGGACUUGAGGACGGGAGAGGAGAGUGGAAUUCCCAGUGUAGAGGUGAAAUGCGUAGAUAUCAGGAGGAACACCGGUGGUGUAGACGGCUUUCUGGACCGUAACUGACGCUGAGACACGAAAGCGUGGGUAGCAAACAGG